UCCUCUAAUGCAUCGCUGCGGGACUUCUAACGUAUUUUUUUAAUUUUAUUAACGUUUUUCGGCCUUUUUGCGUUGAAAGUCUCGCAGCCUAUGCUAAUUCCGUCAUCUUCGCUUUUUUAUUUAACCUCUUAAAUAUUUUUUUGGUCUUCAACUAUGUUUACCCUUUUUGACCUUCAAAUAUUUUUACUGCGUAUUAAAAGUUUUCUCCGUUUUCAACAUGUUUAAAUUUAAGAUAUUUUUUGGUAUUCGUUUUCUCACUUGUGAACAUCAUUAAUUUUGACUUUUUCGACUGAAGAUGAGGUAAUACCUCGAAACUAGUAUCGAAGCA